rnacentral:miRNA from 1 species
CAAUACUUCUGCAAUGCAAGCC